GUGGGGAAUAUUGGACAAUGGGCGAAAGCCUGAUCCAGCCAUGCCGCGUGUGUGAAGAAGGUCUUCGGAUUGUAAAGCACUUUAAGUUGGGAGGAAGGGCAGUAAGUUAAUACCUUGCUGUUUUGACGUUACCGACAGAAUAAGCACCGGCUAACUUCGUGCCAGCAGCCGCGGUAAUACGAAGGGUGCAAGCGUUAAUCGGAAUUACUGGGCGUAAAGCGCGCGUAGGUGGUUCAGCAAGUUGGAGGUGAAAUCCCCGGGCUCAACCUGGGAACUGCCUCGAAAACUACUGGGCUAGAGUACGGUAGAGGGUAGUGGAAUUUCCUGUGUAGCGGUGAAAUGCGUAGAUAUAGGAAGGAACACCAGUGGCGAAGGCGACUACCUGGACUGAUACUGACACUGAGGUGCGAAAGCGUGGGGAGCAAACAGGAUUAGAAACCCUGGUAGUCC
rnacentral:rRNA from 1 species